CAAAAACAUAGCCGCGCGAUUAUAUUCGUGGUAAUUUCUGCUCAAUGAGAGGUUAAAUAGCCGCAGUACCCUGACUGUGCAAAGGUAGCGUAAUCAUUUGUCUUUUAAUUGAAGUCUCGUAUGAAGGAAUACAUGGGGACCUUCUUUACCAUUUGCGAUACGCGAAAUUACUAGGUGGGUGAAAACGCUCACAGAAAAAUAAUAGACGAGGAGACCCUAGAAAUUUGUAAAGUCGUUUUGUUGGGGCAACAUGGUAACAAAUAACUUACCUUAUGUAUAUGAAAUGUAGUAGAUAAAUAAAAUUACUCUAGGGAUAACAGCAUAAUAUAUAAAUGUUUGUGACCUCGAUGUUGGAUUAGGAAGCUGUAGUUCAGAAGAUUAUCAGUAGUGCUCUGUUCGAGC
rnacentral:rRNA from 1 species